AAGAAACUGGCUGAGAAUAAAGAAGCUGAAUUUGUUAACCCUUCACCCCUUAAGAUGCAUCCAAAUGUUAUGUCUCAAGAAGCACAAAAUGUGAACCAAUUUUUGGACAAAAAUGAAGAGCAUAUAGUUUUACAAAAGUCAACACAUGAAGGUACAGAAAAUAACUGUCCAAGAGUAAAUACUGUGGAAGAACAAAUAGAUAAAAUGUACCUUGAUAUUUUGAAGGAAAAAAAUCUGUUAUUCCUUGAUAAUUACCCCAGGAUGACAAAAUACAUAAGACUUUUAGAUCUCGACUGAGUUCUGGAGAAGCAGGGGCUGGGACUGGUACACAGCUACCACACAGGAAGGCCAGAAGUGCCCGUCCUUGUUUAAAAGAACACCCCAGAGUGGAUUAUAUGCAUCAGUGAGGAGCUCAGACUAUGGCAAACCCAGCUCACCAUUCAAGACAUUUUCUACUCUUGAAAAGAGAACUUCAAAGAACAUUAUGAAAAGCAAAAACUUGAGAUCCAUCCCUGCCUCAAAUCAAGCUAGGAAAAAAGAUAAAGUAACUCCCAACAUUUCUGAAGUUUACUUUAUCCAAAUUCAUUCAUAUAACAUGUGUUUUGGGGCACCGACCUGGGUCUAGGCACUGUUGGACGCCCUCUAUGUACGUUGGUAAACAAGGCAGCGCCACCUCCCCUCCCCCAUCUCGUGGAGCUGUCAUCUGAUGAGGAGGGACAGACACUUAACAACAAGCAUACAAAUCAGUAAAUGAUGUUACAUGCUAAGGAGAAAUAGAAAGCAGAGCGAGAGUGUCGGUGGAGUCCAGCAGGUCACCACUUGAUAUAAGAUAGCGUCGGCCUCGGUGAGAGAGCCCUUUGAACGAAGACUUGUAGGAGGAAUUGGGAUUGGCUGUGUGGGUGUGUGUGGGAAGCAUAUUCCAGAAAAAUGAAGCAGUCAGUCCAAAAGUCCCAAAGAGGGAGGAAUGCCUGGCAUUUUGGGGGUCAACAUAGAAGCCCACAUGGCUGGGGCAGAGUGGACAGAGAGGGGAGGGGGAGGGGAGAUCGGGCAUCACAGGGACAGGCACGGUUGGCCUUUCUAGGGCAUUAAGCAGCCUUGGGCUUUCAUUCAGUGUGGAAAGGUGAGCGCCUGGGAAGUUGUGAGCAUGGCAGUGACUUCACCUGAUGUAUCCUUUAGACAGAUUUCUCGGGCUGAUGUCAUUGACCAUAUGCUCACAAAUAUAGACACACACCAUAGAGGCACAGGAAGAAGCACAGAGAUCAGUUAAAAGGGGAUUUGAGGAAUCUGGGCUGGGAGUGAUGGGGCCCGAUCCAGGGUGGUGGCAGUGGUGGUAAUGAGAAGCUAUUGGAUGGGGAUGUAUUUAGAAGAUAGAGUCAAAAGUCUAAAAGAGUGGUUUGGGGUUGUGAGAGAGGCGUCAUUGGUGAUGGCAGGGUAUGUGGCUUGAGCAGCUGGAAGAAUGUGGUUCCUCUCCAGCUGGGAUGGAGCGGGAGGCAGAGUGGGCUUGGGGGUGGAGGGAGAACCAGGAGUUGAGCUGAUGAAAUGCUAAUUUUGAGAUGCCUGUUCUGUGUGCAAGUGGAGAUGGCAAGGAGGUGGUUAGAUGGGAUUCUAGGGCUGAGAGGGAGGUGUGGACUGUAGGUAUCGAGUGUUGUUAAAAAUGAAUAUUUUUGAAGCCAUGGGUUGUUUUUUUCUUAAUUGCAGUGUAAUGUAUUUACAGUAUUGGGUUAGUUUAAGGAGUACAGCAAAAUGAAUCAAUUUUUUCGCAGAUUAUAUUCUGUUACAGGCUAUUACAAGACAUUGAAUAGACUUCCCUGUGCUGUACAGUAAGUCCUUGUUGCUUUACAAUUUUAUGUACAGUAGUUUGUGUCCAUUAAUCCUGUACCUUUAAUUUGUCCUCCCCCUCACCUCCCCUUGUUAACCACAAGUUUCUUUUCUGUCUGUGAGUCUUUCUGUUUUCAUAUAUGUUCAUUUGUAUUAUUUUUGAGAUUCCCCAUGCAAGUGAUCUAUAGUAUUUGUUUUUCUCCAUCUGACUUACUUCAUUAGAUGUAAUAUUCUCUGAAACUUGACAAAGAUUAUCAAGGGGGUGGGGAGGGUAUAGCUCAUAUGGUAGAGUGUAUGCUUAGCAUGCAUGAGAUCCUGGGUUCAAUCCCCGGUAUCUCCAUUUAAAAAA